rnacentral:snRNA from 1 species
UUACUUACCUGGCAGGAGAGAUACCAGGAUCACAAAGCUGGUUUUCCCAGGGCGAGGCUUAUCCAUUGCACCCCGGGUGUGCUGACCCCUGCGAUUUCCCCAAAUGUGGGAAACUCGACUGCAUAAUUUGUGGUAGUGGGGGACUGCGUUCGUGCUCUCCCCUG